AUGCUGAGACAGAUGCACAGAUUCUCUCCUCUCCAGCCUUCAGUGCCUGGGCCCCAACCUUCAGCCGUGUCUGCACAGUGGCCUAGCAGUGUCUGCCUCCUCUGGCUUGGCGGGUGCUUGUGCUGUGUGUCACCCUUUCUGUUCCACACACACACACACAUCACACACACCAGCUGUGUGACUCCACAGUGGGGGAGGACAGAAGGGACCCCUGGGCAGAGACAGCUGUCUGACUUACCAUCUCCUUUGCAGAGCACCUGUGGGCCACUUUGCAGCCACAAAUUCAGACCAAGGCCUCCCCAUUUAUCAUCUAGCCUGCCAACCUCUGUCAGCCACCAAGUUUGCAGGUGUUCAAGUUCCUGGACACUAGCAUGACUCAGUGCAGGACCCCAAAACCCAAGGGUCACGAGUCUUCAGGACCCUGAGCUCUGCCUUCGCUAGCUCAUUGCUGAACCUGGUGGGAUCACAGCCCACGGGAUCAAAUAGCAUGAGCUACAUCUGCCAAUAUUAAUAGCUCCAGAGCCUGGCUGCCUGGGCUGCCGCAGCCUGAGCUGAAACACAAUUUGAGGAACUGUUGUUGACUUGGCUCUGUUUCCAUUUAGGAAGGCGGCUGGGAGGGACAUGGGAAAGGUUGGGACAGCGAGCGAGCAGGGAUUAUGGUGGAAGAAAUAGGGGAGGGGAGGGGACCCCCCUGACUUCUUACAGCUUCUCAUUCUGUGUCCUGAGAACCCAGGAGCAUAGCUUGAAGACUGGAUGUCACUCCAGGGAGCUGUUGAUGUCAGUGCAUGUGCCUAGCCCUCUGGGACCCUGGGUGACCUGCGCAUUGGGUUAUACUGGGUCUGAUCUGAGACCAGGCCUCCCCUCCUGCUCCAACCAUGCUACUUGGCUUGCCCCAGGCUGACCAAUGCCUGAGUGCCAAGCCUCCCAUCAGGAUGAGGACAGCUUCCCUCCUUCCUUCCUCCUUCCCUCUGCCAGCCUUUCCUACCCUGACUUUGCAUGAUGGGUACCUGCAGGUGUCAUCAUCCUAGGGACAGACCAGGAGAACCUGAGCUGGGCCAUGUGCCCCAGCCUAUUCCUCCAGAGAGUACCAGGGACAAGCUCUUCCCAGCUCAGCACCCAGGGCAGAACCCUGGAGCCCUUCUCUUGAGCUGUCACAUGUGACUCUUGACGAUGUCACAGACCCCUGAUGCCUUAUUGACAGAUUCAGUCCUGGGGUUUCUGGGGGCAGGGGAGACUGGUGCAAUGGCUGCUUAGUAAGGGGGCUAAGGUUAUAGAACCAGAAGAUUUCAUCCCUGGGUAGAAGGUUCCAGAAACCCUGAAACCUUCGGGAAAUGGAGAUGAAGACAUAAACAACAGAGAGCUGCCAGGCGUGGUG
rnacentral:lncRNA from 1 species